UGAGGAAUAUUGCGCAAUGGACGAAAGUCUGACGCAGCCACGCCGCGUGCAGGAAGACACCCCUCAGGGGCGUAAACUGCUUUUGUAUGGGAAGAACACCCCUCCUCGGAGGGGUCUGACGGUACCAUACGAAUAAGGACCGGCUAACUCCGUGCCAGCAGCCGCGGUAAUACGGAGGGUCCAAGCGUUGUCCGGAAUCACUGGGUGUAAAGGGUGCGCAGGCGGGCGUGUAAGUCAGGGGUGAAAGCCACCGGCCCAACCGGUGAACUGCCCUUGAUACUGCACGUCUUGAGUCCCGGAGAGGCUAUCGGAAUUCGUGGUGUAGCGGUGAAAUGCGUAAAUAUCACGAGGAACACCUGAUGCGUAGGCGGAUAGCUGGACGGGUACUGACGCUCAGGCACGAAAGCGUGGGGAGCGAACAGGAUUAGAUACCCCCGUAGUCC
rnacentral:rRNA from 1 species